AGAUAAUUAGUCUCCUAGGGUUUUGUCAAGAAAUCUGGAUCUCUUGAGCUUAAGAAUCAGGAAUUAUUACUUCACUGUUAAUCAUCUUUUAUCCAUUUGGAUUAAAUUUCAUGCAAUUUGUGUUCCUAAAUUGUUUGAUAUGCUAGAAUUUUGUUGGCUCAGCAUCUCUUUAUGAGUCUACACUAUAAUAUAUCUAUAUGAUCCGGAGGCACAGAUUUUUAAAGGUCCAGCAUUUUCUCUAUACUACAUUGAAAGUUUGAAUUAUGACAUCGCUUGUGUUUAAUAAACAGUCGACUUCAUGAAUUACCUUGUUGUCUUCUGCAUGUUAGAUGUUUGUACUUUGGACAACACAUUUUACGGUUUACAUGACCAAUUAAUGAGAGAUUAGGAACUGUCUAAAGAAUUUUAAUUUACAGAACACUUCCUACAGAGAGAAGAAUGCUCUAUCUAUUUUUUUCCAGUGUCUUCACAUCCAAGUGGAAACUCUUACUAGUGGAGUGCCCUUCCAUUCCAACACCAUCUUAUGUUCUCGGUGUCCUUUGAUCUUCACCUUGUAUGAAUUCUCUCUUUUGUUCACAAUCCGCUUAGCUUCGAUUAUGCUUUCUUCGCUCAGUUUUCAGCCCUCCAAUCCGUUUUCUGAUUGAAGAUCAGAAUUUUCCAUCAAUUUCACCGAGUCUAGAAACCAAUGGAUGGAACUCAUAUAAGGUGCUAGAAAAAGACUCCAUGGCUGUUCUGGCAUUGGCUAGAUGAACUGGGAAACUCUGCUCUAAUGAUUCGAAUAGGGCUUGGUAAUGCUUCAAAAGUUUGUCCAAGAAUGAACUAAACCAGAAAAACUUCGCGAACAAAAUUCUGUUUCUCCAUAACCAAGAAUGUUUUACCAAUUCUUUUGUCCACACACACGCACGUACACACAUAUAUACAUCCUGUUUAUUUCAUGUAUGAUUGUGUAGCUGAUGAUUGCUAAAUAUAGUUGAAAUAUGGUCUGAACUUUAUUAGAAGAGAGAAUUUUGGCUAUUUAGUGCAAACCUGAGAACCAACCCUGGAAAAAAGAGUUAAUUCUGAUACCGUGUAAUAGAAGAUGGCUAAUCAACCCUGUAUUUCAUGAACUGUGAUUAGAGAUAUCCUUUAUUUUAUGGAAUAGUAAUCAAUCCCUUAUAAUCUGGAGAUUAUCUUCCAAAAGCGUCUAACUCUCCAAUAACUGUUUUGUAAUUUUGUAUGUACUGGUUAAAUAAUAUGCUUGAAUGAUAGGUUUAAUGAUACGAUGACUUUGCUUUCUGAAGUGAUGCAUCAGGUCGUUAGUCUGAUCUGUUUUACAUGCUGCGAUUAGAUGGAUAAUCCUUUGAAAUUAGUGAUUAGUGAUUUUUAAUAGGGUUCUUAAUAUUUUUCUAAUGAGAAGCCUAAUCAGAUUACGAAGUGAAGAAAACAAGUCCGAUAAAGAUUAUCAAUUGUCUUUCUUGUUGUCUGCUUAUGCAUUACCAUUUUAUGGGAUGGGGCUUUUGCUAAUCAUUUCUCACUUCCAUUUAUUAGAUAAUUAAUUUUAUAAUAAGGACAUUAAUUUGAUUUGUUUUCAUCAACAACUUUUCAAGUAUAAAACAUUCAGUUAUUUAUAUCUGUAAUUCCAAUGAUGUGUGGACCAAUACAACAGUACUUCUUGCUUGCUGAAGUGUUGAGAACUGUGAUGAGAUAUUUAUUUGGUAUUUUUUACUUACAGGUCUAAUUUUGUGUACUCGUAAGAACAUUCGAGUCUACAUUCAAUUUAUGUUAGCAUUUAGAUCUCUGACCUUUAAUUCCUGUCAUAUUUGAGUUUUGUUUUUGGUAAAUUGGUCAGUUAUCAAGUGUCUUGCACAUGAAACUGCUAGGACCCUGUAUCAAAGGCAGCUUCCAACAAGCACAAGAACAACAAAUGUGAGAGCAAGAUGACUGGAAUGAAGAGUUUUUAUAUUCAUGGUGACAUGAGAACUGGUUAUAUUCAUGGUGACAUGAGUACUGGAAAUGCAAUUAGAUUGUAGUAAAAUAACACUGUAAACCUACAAAAUUAUACUCAGCAACAGAAAAUAGAAAAUAGGUAAUUUGACAUUCGAGAGGCCAAUCUCUCCCCUAGACUUUUCUGUAUCUCGGCAUGCUCUCUUCUCCCCCUGCUUCCUGCAUUUAUAAUGUGUUCUGUAACAAACCCUUCAACCAUUUCUGUUUGCUCCCAUGUGUUUGUUGAAUUUCCCCUUUGGCAACUUCCUUUCCUGCCCUCGGCCUUUUUCUUGGAUAUGGUACACUGAGUUGGGCGGUGUCCUUUCAGAAAUAUUGUUCCAAAGACAUUAGGUAAUUUAAUAAAGAUAAAAGGAAAAAAUAGGUCAUCCUUUUCGUUGCUUUGCUGGUUUGAUACUGCAUGCAAUAUAUCCUUGUUGGUUGCAUGGAUUGCUGGGAAUUAUGAUGAGGCACUUGUUGAAAAUUUGUACCUAUACUGAUACUCAAAAGAGGCAUUUGGAUCGUGAUUUAAUUUUCUUGGUAUUUGAAUUUCUAACCUCCAAUUUUAUUAGCAUUCGAGGGUCUCACUGACAAAUUUAAAAAAGAAAAAAAGGAAUUGUCCUUAGCUGAUCAUGUUCUACCCAGGAAUAAACAACUUGGGGAUCCCUAUUCAAUAGUUUUCAUUUUUCUUUUGUCAUUUGAGUACUUAACCUUCAAAUUUUAUCAACAGAUUCUUAUCGAAAUUGUUGUUAACUGAUCAUUUGUCUUGCAC
rnacentral:lncRNA from 1 species